GACGUCAUUAACGGCGCCAGAGUAGUGUCCGAAAGUGCGUUUUUAUUUCUGCCAUUGAGCUCAUCUUUAUAGUGCACUUUGUUGGAUUCACUAUGUAGUGACUACGGAGCAGGGAUCGAUACUGCGAUAUCUAUACCUCAGAUACCAGAUCUUUAUGCUCUAAAAUCGAUUCUCCAAUCAAAAUAUCGAUACUUUAGUAAUUUGAGGUGAUGUAUAUCAUUAACAGGAACACAGUGGAAAGUAACUAAACUACUGAAAUCUUGUCUAAAUGAUACGCGGUUGGUAGGAACUACUCUUUCUUCCGCCUGGGUAAGUGCGUAAUGCGUAAGCGCAUCCACGCUGCUCAGUCAGUCAGUCACUUGCUGUGUCCCAAUUCAGGGUCUGCACACUUCGAGUGCGCAUUUGAAGUGCGAUUACGUCACUCUGCCGCGGCGAAGGGUGUCCCAAUUCAAACGCCGUGUCUCAAUUCAGGGGCAGCAUCCUUCAAGGACCCAUCCUUCGCCGCCAGCAAAGGCAGGGUCCUUCAGACAGACCUGCAGGCCGCGUCAGCCGGUUGUUAAAUGAGACAAUCUAGCCUUCGAAGCAUUUCCUGGUUGCGUCACCAGAUGUUCCCGCUUCUACCCGCAUGUCACUAUUUAUGCAACCCAGGUCCGCGAAAGUGACAAGAAGAGUAAAGUUUGACUGUCAGACCUGUUUGAGUUGCAGGAAUCCCAGAUAUCCCUUUUAAUCCUUUUAAGAGGAGAAGCAGCUGGUGUAUCUCGGGCUGAGAGGACCGUGGAGAGUUAAACCUGUUAUUGAUACCACAGUAAUGUUAUCAAUAUUAUCAUUAUUAGCUAGCUAACAGUUUGGGGUAAUUAACAUACCGAUACAUAACGUUAAUGCUGACAUAAACUGCUGAUCGCCACAUGUGAUUUUAUUUUAAUUUUAAAGUGACAUGGCAGCCAUGGAUGGAGUCAGAACUGCAGACCCAGUUGAUGGACGAUGUGGUGGACAGAGGAGACUGGACUCCCAAACACCCUGAGUACCGACUCAGAUGAUGUCCCACUGACACCAUCCAGCCCAGCAGCACUGCAGGGACUCCUGCUCAGCCUGUUACUGUCCAUCACCUGUAACUGUUUUAAUAUUGUUUUUAAUAAUAAUUGUUUUGUUAAUAGUGAAUAAUAAUCUGUAAAUAGUUCUUUAUGCUGUAAUUUUGCAAAUAGUUGUGAAUGUUUAGAACUUAAUAAUGAAAGAAGACAUUCAAUCCAUUGUUGUCCCUGAAAAGUAGCAGUUGAUGCCGUUUGCUGUUGUAAAUACUGAAUAGACAACGUGUAACAAUAAAACAAUAUUUUAUUUCA